rfam:Myotis lucifugus cont2.14587, whole genome shotgun sequence.
GCCCAUGCUGCUCAGUGGUGAGAGCACCACCCAUGCACCAAAGGGUCACAGGUUCGAUUCCAGUCAAGGGCA